UUUAUUUUAUAUCAUUCAUCACUGUCAAACCCCGUCAACAUCUCUAAGACUGAAACAUCCUGUUCUACUGAAAAUGAACAAAUCUCUUGAAUGUGUAACAAACACAAAGAGAUUUUACAAUUCUCCUUCAACAUAUCAUCACGCGUGCAAAAUUGGAAAUUGAACAACUCAAUUUGACUUAUUAUUUUCUAGUCAUCCUACAACUCAAUUUUCAUGAUUCUAAGCAAAAAGAACAUAACCAAAUUUUUUGAUAUAUUUUUUUGUUUUAUUAUGUGAACUCAUCCCCAUUUUUUGUUUAAUUUCUGUUUUUUUUUAAUUCAUCAAUCAUCUCCGGUCCCUACCGGCCACCACCACCAGGCUCUUCUCUGCUCAACUGGAUUCUACCUUUGUUUACCACCAAGAAAUGCGUCUACGACAACUGAAUUCUAUCUUUCUCACCUUCAUUAGAACACUUUCUCCUUGGCAACAAAGACAUUUUCCCAGCCAAAUUCUACAAUUGAUAUUACUUCAAACACUUAAACGCACAACACAGGUCCAACAAAGAAGAAAACUAAAACAUUACAAACAAAAUCCAAAACCCACAACUAAACUUGCAUCUCUAGUCAAAUUCCAAAGGAAGCCAAAUACCUCCACAACAAAUAAAGGGAAAGCGGUUCCUGAAGCAAUCGUGUGGAGGCGGCAGCGAGGAGCGGGUCUAGAUCUCGCAGUGACGACGUCAAUGGAGUUACCGACGAGGACGAGGCGGAAAAGGAGGACACCAAGGGAGGAACGAAUCUCAGAUCUGGGAGGAGCUAAUCUCAGAUCUGGAAAAAAAAUCAGAAAAAUGAUAGAGAGAAACGGACUGGAUCUCACGACGGAUCUCGCUAUGGCGACGGGGAGAGGGGCUAGAUGAGGUCGGCGAAGCUUGACCAGGGAGGAGUGGUCAGAGACGACGAAGACGCAGCAGAAGGGAUGUGUUGCCGACAGCGAAUGAAGGUCGUCGGCGUGGCGGUGGGUGGUGCCGACGAAAUUUGAUCUGAAAAAGAAAAAAGAAAGUCCAGGCAACGCAAGAGAGACGAAAAGAGCAUAAAAAAUACUUUUAAUAAUUUUCAUUUCAUUUUUAAAAUAAAAAAAGUUUUUAUUUUUUUAUUUUUUGCUUCCGGUAAAUAACCUAUUAUCACAGGUCAUUUUACUUCCUCACCACAACAAAAAAAGAAAAAAGAUAUCAAGUACUUGAUUGCUUGAACGGAACACGUCCAUGGCUCAUGAAAUGAAACAAACCUAAUUAUCUAAAUUUCAAGGUUUGAAGUUUCAACUUUCAAACACCAGCUGGAUUUAGAUAAAGAUAUACACGCAACGCAACAAAUUUAAAAUCAGGGAAUUUCGAGGUUUCAAGUUCCAUUGGUUGGGCUAAAUAAUUACCAUCAUAUUUAGGGUUUUGGACUUCCACUGAAGCAUCCUUAGUUUUAAAGUUUUAAAGAGGAAAGGAUGGGUUUUUCACCUUUCAUUUGAUGUGAAAUCUACUGGAUACAUCACACAGGUUUUGAUUUUUUGAGAAGAUUAUGCAAUUAAUCUUUAAUUUGAUAUUUAAUCAUGUUUUAAGUUUUUUUAUUUCUCCCUAAAUAUAUAUUUUACACAAAUUAAACUCAAAUUUUUCCUCAUAAAUUCAAUGUAUAUUGACAAUUGAGUUAUACCCAUUAAACAAAAAAUCAUUUAUCAUAUAGCUCAAAUCCUGCAACAAAUGAGCAAGUAAACUACUAGUCUUAUUAGUUAUGAAAUUGUUUAAGAUAAAUAUUUAUUUUAUAUAAUACUUAAGAUUUAUAAUAAAUAAAUAUUUUUGAAAAUAUGUUAUAUUUAAAAUUUAUAAUAAAUAACUUAAACUAUAAUAUAAGGUUAUUUUGAAUUAUUAAAAUUCAAAAAGUAAGUUAAAUUCACUUUAGAGAUAUAAAUAAAAGAGAUAUAUAGUUAAAAAGAUCAACUAUACCAUAAAAGAAAAUAUAAGAAUGUCUAAUUGUGAGUUAAAGAAAACAAGAGUCUCACAUCAUUCUUAUUUGAUAGAUGCAGACGUGCAAAUAUUUUCUUUUAAAUUUUAAUAACUUAAGAGAUGUAUUUUAUAAAGAGAUAAAUAAAUAAUGAAUCAUGUUGUUCUGUAUUAGCGAGAGUUAAGAUUAUAUGAUUGUAGUCAUAUUUUUUAUGAUAUAUUUAUAUUUUUCUUUGCAUAUCAUUCAAAAUUUGACUAUGAACAUAUAAUCUUAACUCUCUUACUAAGGUAUGAACCACAUGAUUUGUUUGUCUCCUUUAAAAUUCACCUAUAAGUUAUUAAAAUUAAAGUUUGAAAGAAGAUGUUUACCUAUUGAGAGUAUAAAAAGUUUUAUGCAAUUACAAUUGUCACUACAAAAUUAUUUUAUAAUUGUUAGUACAUAAAUAUUAAAUUAUUGAGACAGUUGAAAAAUAAAACUUUUGAAUGACUGUGAUGAUAAUAUAUGAAUAUGAAAAAGUUAUAUAUUGACAGUGUAAAAUUUUUUACAAAUCCAUUCAAUUACAAUUUAUUAUUAUGUAUGAUAAAUUUAUUGAUUUUUAAAAUAAUUUUUUUAAAGUAAUUCAAACAGUAAUAAUUUAUGAUUAGAUAUAAUUGUAAAACUAUUAGUGAAUAGGCAUUAUUAAACUUAUGUAUAAAAUGCAUAUGCAAAGAAUAUAUAUAUAUUCAAGUAUAUGGAAAGAAUAGACAUUGAGAAUUUCUAAUUAUGAGAAUAAAGAGAAUCAAAAUCUCAUUCUACAAUCUGUUUAUUUUAAUUUAUUAUAUAAGAAAAUAUUAUUGUUAAUAAAUCAUAAACUAUUUUUUCCAUAAUCUUAUCUGUAUUUAUUUUUAAAUUUUAACAUCAAUUUUACUAUAUAUUUGAUUGGUUUCACAAUAUUUUGUGCGAGAUUGGAUCAAAUAAUUUAAAACUUAAUCAUAUAUUUAGUCUUAUAAUAAUAAUUAUAUUUUUAGUUGAUUUUAUUAUAUCAAUAACAUAUCAUAUAUAUAAUCACAUCAUUUCAUCUCAAGUUCAAGUUUUAUAUAUAUAAUUAUAUUAUUAAAGAAAGAAUUUAUAAUAAUUUUAUCUUAGUCAAACAUAAUUAUCUUCCUUAAAAAAUAUCUAUCAUCUUCAAAAAAAAAAUAUAAUCUCAUGAUUUAAAAAAAUAUCUUAGUCAAGGAUAAAAAAAUAAUAAAAAUAUUUAGAAGACUAAAUCAAAUAAAAGUAUAAUUUAAUUUUGAUAUAUUAUGAGCGUAAAAAAAAUUAUACUAUAAAUUAGUUAUAUGGUUUUAAAAAAAUAAGUUUUUUUAUUACAAAAUUACAAUUUUAUCAUCUUAUAUAACGAUAAAAAAGUAAAUGAUAAUGUAAAAUCUUGACCAUAUCAAUAUAUUACAGUAAUUAGAUUCAUAAAAAUAUAUUUAUAAAUAUUAAAUCCACAUUUGAGUCAAUAAUAAUAAUUUAAUAAAAAAAGUUGACAAAAGCUUAUUAAAUUAAGCAAUAAACAAAAUCAUGUGGGGCAACUUGGUUGGUCCACUACCUAAUAAACCACCUCCCGGAUUCUCAUUCUCAUUCUUAUUGCCAGCGAGUGAGUCAAAAGAGACACUAACAAAACAAACCCCGUGAAAGCAAAGCACCCCACCGCGCUCUUUGCCUAACCGACUCACUCCCAUGGAAUCCGAUCUAAACGACGCCGUUUUUCCCGAAGAAGAUCUCGACGACGACGACGAAACUCCAGAGGAUGAAGAGGAGGAGGAGGACGACGACGUCUUAGAUGACGAUGAAACCGAACCCCCUCCCUCCGUCAUCGCCGUCGCGCCGCCCGCUUCCGAAACGCUCGACACCGCGUUAAUUCCGAUCUCCUCCGUCGCGGAUUCCUCGCCGAAACCGCUGCGCACGGAGCUAAUCGAGGAGAAAAAAGCGCUGGACGAUUCGCGGCGACUGUUCCAGCGUCUGUGGACAGACGAGGACGAGAUCGGGCUCUUGCAGGGUUUUCUGGAGUACACGGCGCAGCGAGGAUCCUCUCACCACAACGACACCGCCCUGUUCUACGACCAAAUCAAGUCGAAGCUCCAACUCGGCUUCAACAAGAACCAGCUCGUCGAGAAGCUCCGAAGGCUGAAGAAGAAGUACCGCAACGUCCUCAACAAAAUCAGCUCCGGCAAGGAAGUCUCUUUCAAGAGCCCUCACGACCGAGCCACCUUCGAAAUCUCGCGCAGGAUCUGGAGCAACACCGCUCCAAUCACCGGUCCCGUCGAAGACGACGACGAAAUCAUCACUAACCCUAAUUUCGGCAAUUCGGCGAAGAUGCCUAUUUCGCGGAAGCGGUCGCGGCCUCAGAAGCGCGAGUUGAACGACGGUUCAACGUUGAAUAGAGAUAAUAAUUGCAAUAGUAACAGUAAUAAUAAUAAUAAUAAUGAGAAUUGUAAUAGUAGGCUUAACUUACAGGGUUUGAUUGAAGAGACGGUGAGGAGUUGCGUGUCGCCGGUGUUGAAGGAGUUGGCGUGUGGUACUGGUGGCAUGGGAUUGGGA
rnacentral:lncRNA from 1 species